rnacentral:rRNA from 1 species
CCUACGGGAGACAGCAGUGGGGAAUAUUGCACAAUGGGGGAAACCCUGAUGCAGCAACGCCGCGUGAAGGAAGACGGUUUUCGGAUUGUAAACUUCUGUUCGUAGGGAAGAAGAAUGACGGUAGCUAAGGAGCAAGCAACGGCUAACUACGUGCCAGCAGCCGCGGGAAUACGGAGGUGGCAAGCGUUGUCCGGAAUUACGGGGUGUAAAGGGAGCGCAGGCGGGAAGCGCAGUCAGCUGUGAAAACUACGGGCUUAACUUGUAGACUGCAGUUGAAACUGGUUUUCUUGAGUGAAGUAGAGGUUGGCGGCAUUCCGAGUGUAGCGGUGAAAUGCGUAGAUCUUCGGAGGAACACCGGUGGCGAAGGCGGCCCACUGGGCUUUAACUGACGCUGAGGCUCGAAAGUGUGGGGAGCAAACAGGAUUAGAUACCCCUGUAGUC